rnacentral:rRNA from 1 species
GCAAGUCGAACGGUGAACACGGAGCUUGCUCUGUGGGAUCAGUGGCGAACGGGUGAGUAACACGUGAGCAACCUGCCCCUGACUCUGGGAUAAGCGCUGGAAACGGCGUCUAAUACUGGAUAUGUGACGUGACCGCAUGGUCUGCGUCUGGAAAGAAUUUCGGUUGGGGAUGGGCUCGCGGCCUAUCAGCUUGUUGGUGAGGUAAUGGCUCACCAAGGCGUCGACGGGUAGCCGGCCUGAGAGGGUGACCGGCCACACUGGGACUGAGACACGGCCCAGACUCCUACGGGAGGCAGCAGUGGGGAAUAUUGCACAAUGGGCGCAAGCCUGAUGCAGCAACGCCGCGUGAGGGACGACGGCCUUCGGGUUGUAAACCUCUUUUAGCAGGGAAGAAGCGAAAGUGACGGUACCUGCAGAAAAAGCGCCGGCUAACUACGUGCCAGCAGCCGCGGUAAUACGUAGGGCGCAAGCGUUAUCCGGAAUUAUUGGGCGUAAAGAGCUCGUAGGCGGUUUGUCGCGUCUGCUGUGAAAUCCGGAGGCUCAACCUCCGGCCUGCAGUGGGUACGGGCAGACUAGAGUGCGGUAGGGGAGAUUGGAAUUCCUGGUGUAGCGGUGGAAUGCGCAGAUAUCAGGAGGAACACCGAUGGCGAAGGCAGAUCUCUGGGCCGUAACUGACGCUGAGGAGCGAAAGGGUGGGGAGCAAACAGGCUUAGAUACCCUGGUAGUCC